AUCCAAAAAGAAACAUCUAGCUGCAAGACCCACUCACAAAAAAGAUAAGAUACUGCAUUUUGAUUAUUAUUUUAAUAUAAUUUCUUUUAUGAUCAGUUGUUUUUACAUCAUUUUGAUGAGGUUAUUAGAGAGUUAUUUCUGCUUAAAUAGUUGUUUAACUUUGAUCGUUUUUUAUCUGCUAUUAGCCUUUUAUAGAGCAGAGAGAAAACAAGAAGACCAGAAGAGAUGUAAACACUCAUUUUGAAAGAUAUGUAUACACACAUUUAAUCAAGGACUCAAUCAGGACUCGGAUCAGCAAUUCUUUUUACUUUGUUUUGAUCAAGUCCUCAAUUGUUAUCAUCUGUUUAACUUUCAGAGAGAAGGGAGGAUGCAGCAUGCACUGCAAACUCUCAUUAAAAAAAAGAUAAGUAUUUUAUUUUAUAUUAUUAUAAAUCCUCCUCAGAUGAGCAGUUCUCCCAGUUGCUGAAAUUUUAGUAACAGUCCCACCCCCCACCCCACCCCCGUGUUUGUCAUUUGUAUUUCAGAUAAAACAAAGAGGAGACAAGAUGACAUGAAGACCAAAGAUAGCAUGGACUGUGAACCCUGCCAUCUAAAAAAAGCGAAGAUGAGAUAAACUGAGGGUAGAAGGAAGGAGAUGUCAUGCAGAGUGAAAGAUACGUUUCUUUCAUUUGAAACUCUUAUAAGAAAUUAAACAUAAACUGAUCAAUGAUUCAUAUGUUGUGUUGCUGGGGAUUUUACUCUUACUCCACUGUCUCUGUCAUUUUUGUCCAUUUCAGCAUGUCCUCCUGAUCUCCUGCUGUCAUGGUCUGCUGUCACCCUGGGCCAGGAGCUUUGAGUGGAUCUCCACCCUUCUGGGCAGAGCCUGGAUUCUUCCACUGCUCAGCCGAGCAUAUGUACCCUAUCAAGCCUCAUCGUCUGUGGUAUUUCAGGAUUGCAUUCUGCAGCUUGCCUCACAAAGUGGACUGCCUGCUCACCCUCCCUCAGCACCUCUUUUCAGCUCAAGGAUCGACUAGCUAAUCAGGACCUUAGACUUCUCAUCUAAGAACCCAAAGCAUCCCGCCUGGACCUGCAAAGCUUGCUUAACCCUGUACCCCAGGCUAAACUCCUGAGCUCUGCAUGAACAAAAUAAAGAUUCAGUGAUUACUGUAAA